rnacentral:rRNA from 1 species
GACGAACGCUGGCGGCGUGCUUAACACAUGCAAGUCGAACGGUAAGGCCCUUCGGGGUACACGAGUGGCGAACGGGUGAGUAACACGUGGGUGAUCUGCCCUGCACUUCGGGAUAAGCCUGGGAAACUGGGUCUAAUACCGGAUAGGACCACUGCCUGCAUGGGUGGUGGUGGAAAGCUUUUGCGGUGUGGGAUGGGCCCGCGGCCUAUCAGCUUGUUGGUGGGGUGAUGGCCUACCAAGGCGACGACGGGUAGCCGGCCUGGGAGGGUGACCGGCCAAACUGGGACUGAGAUACGGCCCAGACUCCUACGGGAGGCAGCAGUGGGGAAUAUCGCACAAUGGGCGCAAGCCUGAUGCAGCGACGCCGCGUGAGGGAUGACGGCCUUCGGGUUGUAAACCUCUUUCAGCACCGACGAAGCGCAAGUGACGGUAGGUGCAGAAGAAGGGCCGGCCAACUACGUGCCAGCCGCCGCCGUAACAC